ACUCAAAUGAAUAGACGGGGGCCCGCACAAGCAGCGGAGCGUGUGGUUUAAUUCGAUGCAACGCGAAGAACCUUACCUGGGUUUGACAUGUACGUGGUAGGAAUCUGAAAGGUGACCGACCCGCAAGGGAGCGUACACAGGUGCUGCAUGGCUGUCGUCAGCUCGUGCCGUGAGGUGUUGGGUUAAGUCCCGCAACGAGCGCAACCCUCGUCGCUAGUUAUCAUGUCUAGCGAGACUGCCGGGUCUAACUCGGAGGAAGGCGGGGAUGACGUCAAGUCAGCAUGGCCCUUACAUCCAGGGCUACACACACGCUACAAUGGCCGGUACAAUGCGCCGCAAGGGGGCGACCCGGAGCAAAUCGCACCAAAGCCGGUCUCAGUUGGGAUUGCAGGCUGAAACUCGCCUGCAUGAACGAGGAGUUGCUAGUAACCGCAGGUCAGCACACUGCGGUGAAUACGUUCCCGGGCCUUGCACACACCGCCCGU
rnacentral:rRNA from 1 species